UACGUAGGGUGCAAGCGUUAAUCGGAAUUACUGGUCGUAAAGCGUGCGCAGGCGGUUUUGUAAGUUUGUCGUGAAAGCCCCGGGCUCAACCUGGGAAUGGCGAUGAAGACUGCAAGGCUUGAAUCUGGCAGAGGGGGGUAGAAUUCCACGUGUAGCAGUGAAAUGCGUAGAGAUGUGGAGGAACACCGAUGGCGAAGGCAGCCCCCUGGGUCAAGAUUGACGCUCAUGCACGAAAGCGUGGGGAGCAAACAGG
rnacentral:rRNA from 1 species